rnacentral:rRNA from 1 species
AUGAAGAAGACUACUACGCGUGGGGCCAAGCAUAUCAGUAAGGACCCGUUCGAACGCCUGCAUUCAAAGUUGUCAACGGGGGGCAACUCAGAUGUACCUGAGGCGCAAGGCGACAAUACUGCUGCUGCAUCGUCAACCGCUCCCACCAACUCUGAUGCUAGUGGCCGACCAUCUCCGCCGGCUGCAGAUGUGCAGGCUAGAACAACAUGCAUCCGUACAUCAGGGAGUGACGAGUCGGUAUCCGCCAGGACAGCUGAAAUAUUGCCAACUCUUCUGGCAAUGAAGGAUGCUGCUGUGAGCCAUGCCACCCCAUCAGCAAGCGUUGAAGUGGACGCCCCCGAGACGAACAUAAGCAAGGAAGAUUCCCGCUCAUCUGACACUGAUUCCAAGCGUGUGCGUGUUGGCCCUCCUGUGUCCACGACAGAAGCGGCUGAGGCGGCAGUUCACAAUGAUAUGCCAUCUACAGGUGAGAGUCCUGGCACAACAGCUCCAGCUCCUGUUGGUGUAGAUACUGCUAAGGCGACUGUCUCACGUGCUGGUCUUCAACCUAGGCGUCGUAGUCCCUGCAAGCAACCAACAGACAUACCCAAUGCACCGGUUGUAGCUAGGAGCAGGAGAGACGAGUCUGGUUAUGUUCCUGCGUCCACACUGUUCCUGCCACCUGCCAGAAGCAAUGUGAUGGAGAAACCGGAAGUCCGGAGCACAGCUGAUGCAGGUGUCAAGCCGGGCACGAGUGACGCAGGUGAACGCCCGGAGCAGACUGCGCCUUUACCCGCAGUGGAAAUCCCCAGCUUAAAUCUGCGCACUUCCAGGCUCCUAGUCAAUGUGGGUGUCCCCUACAGCCCAAACAAGAAGAUUGUCAUGAAAGCUGCGGCUGAUACAUCUGACAACACGCCCUGCCCUGCAAAUAAGCCCGAUCAUUCUGUAGCGGCCGAUUCAGAUAUGUUUGUCGAUCUUUCACCCUUGGAUUCUGCCCCGCAAGUCGUUCGUGGUCCGGCCAGUAGGCAUGAGAGGCACCCAAUGGCCUUCACCCCACCAAGCUUCAGCCUUGGCAUCAGUCAAGAUCAACCGGUGGUGCAAGAUCCUAUGCCAGUUGCCUUUGCUUUCCCGGGAGGCAUGCCCGCAAUGAUGGCGCAGCCAAUGGUCGAGGGCAGGAAGGCUGUUAAGUUCACAGAGCCGAUAGUGCAAGCCACCCCCGAGGAGAUUUCACCGUCACUUGAUGAAGCUUACCGCAGGAUCGAGGAGGCAACAUUGCAGAGGAGAUCCUCACGAGGGCAAGGGCAAUCAAGUUCCAACGUGCCUGCAGAUACGGUAUCUGAGGAUACCAUUAGGAGUGCCACCCUGGUUCUGUGA